rnacentral:rRNA from 1 species
AUUGAACGCUGGCGGCAGGCUUUACACAUGCAAGUCGAGCGGAGCGGCGGACGGGUGAGUAAUGCCUAGGAAUCUGCCUGGUAGUGGGGGAUAACGUCCGGAAAUGGGAGCUAAUACCGCAUACUAGCAGAUGACGCUAGGGCGGAUUAGCUAGUGGGUGGGGGAAAGGCCUACCACGGCGACGAUCCGUAACUGGUCUGAGGGGAUGAUCAGUCACACUGGAACUUAGACACGGUCCAGACUCCUACGGGAGGCAGCAGUGGGGAAUAUUGGACAAUGGGCGAAAGCCUGAUCCAGCCAUGCCGCGUGUGUGAAGAAGGUCUUCGGAUUGUAAAGCACUUUAAGUUGGGAAGCGUUACCAACAGAAUAAGCACCGGCUAACUUCGUGCCAGCAGCCGCGGUAAUUC